GAUGAAGAACGCAGUGAAAUGCGAUACUUGGUGUGAAUUGCAGAAUCCCGUGAACCAUCGAGUCUUUGAACGCAAGUUGCGCCCGAAGCCAUCAGGUUGAGGGCACGUCUGCCUGGGCGUCACAUAUCGUUGCCCAAUGCCUAUUGCAGUGCAAUAGGAAUUUCUAGGGCGAAUGAUGGCUUCCCGUGAGCAUUGUUGCCUCGCGGUUGGUUGAAAAUCGAGUCCUUGGUAGGGUGUGCCAUGGUAGAUGGUGGUCGAGUUAGAACGAUACCGAUCAUGUGCAUGCUCCCCAAAAUAUGGCCUCUAUGACCCACACGCGUCUUUUGACGCUCAUGACGAGACCUCAGGUCAGGCGGGGCUACCCGCUGAAUUUAAGCAUAUCAAUAAGCGGAGGA
rnacentral:misc_RNA from 1 species